rnacentral:rRNA from 1 species
CAGUAGCCGCGGUAAUACGUAGGUGGCAAGCGUUAUCCGGAAUUACUGGGCGUAAAGCGCGCGUAGGUGGUUUUUUAAGUCUGAUGUGAAAGCCCACGGCUCAACCGUGGAGGGUCAUUGGAAACUGGAAAACUUGAGUGCAGAAGAGGAAAGUGGAGUUCCAUGUGUAGCGGUGAAAUGCGCAGAGAUAUGGAGGAACACCGGUGGCGAAGGCGACUUUCUGGUCUGUAACUGACGCUGAUGUGCGAAAGCGUGGGGAUCAAACAGGAUUAGAUACCCGCGUAGUCCCUGUCUCUUAUAA